UAAUGAACAUAAAUUGUAGAUAAUAAUAUUACAUUGUGUUGUAUUGAACCCUCUAAACUUAUUCCACAGAUCCCUUGGCCAAAAUGGGUUUAAUAUGUUGUUGUUAGUAAUAUUCAUGAAAACAAAUGAAAUGUAAAGAAAGAAAGAAAAACAACUUUGAGAAUCCCUGACCGAGAGUACUGGAGGUGACAUUGGAAAGGGAAUUCCUGACCGAGAGUACUGGAGGUGACAUUGGAAAGGGAAUCCCUGACCGAGAGUACUGGAGGUGACAUUGGAAAGGGAAUCCCUGACCGAGAGUACUGGAGGUGACAUUGGAAAGGGAAUCCCUGACCGAGAGUACUGGAGGUGACAUUGGAAAGGGAAUCCCUGACCGAGAGUACUGGAGGUGACAUUGGAAAGGGAAUCCCUGACCGAGAGUACUGGAGGUGACAUUGGAAAGGGAAUCCCUGACCGAGAGUACUGGAGGUGACAUUGGAAAGGGAAUCCCUGACCGAGAGUACUGGAGGUGACAUUGGAAAGGGAAUCCCUGACCGAGAGUACUGGAGGUGACAUUGGAAAGGGAAUCCCUGACCGAGAGUACUGGAGGUGACAUUGGAAAGGGAAUCCCUGACCGAGAGUACUGGAGGUGACAUUGGAAAGGGAAUCCCUGACCGAGAGUACUGGAGGUGACAUUGGAAAGGGAAUCCCUGACCGAGAGUACUGGAGGUGACAUUGGAAAGGGAAUCCCUGACCGAGAGUACUGGAGGUGACAUUGGAAAGGGAAUCCCUGACCGAGAGUACUGGAGGUGACAUUGGAAAGGGAAUCCCUGACCGAGAGUACUGGAGGUGACAUUGGAAAGGGAAUCCCUGACCGAGAGUACUGGAGGUGACAUUGGAAAGGGAAUUCCUGACCGAGAGUACUGGAGGUGACAAUGGAAAGGGAAUCCCUGACCGAGAGUACUGGAGGUGACAUUGGAAAGGGAAUCCCUGACCGAGAGUACUGGAGGUGACAUUGGAAAGGGAAUUCCUGACCGAGAGUACUGGAGGUGACAUUGGAAAGGGAAUCCCUGACCGAGAGUACUGGAGGUGACAUUGGAAAGGGAAUUCCUGACCGAGAGUACUGGAGGUGACAUUGGAAAGGGAAUCCCUGACCGAGAGUACUGGAGGUGACAUUGGAAAGGGAAUCCCUG